rnacentral:misc_RNA from 1 species
GAUGAAGAACGCAGCGAAAUGCGAUAAGUAAUGUGAAUUGCAGAAUUCAGUGAAUCAUCGAAUCUUUGAACGCACCUUGCACUCCUUGGUAUUCCGAGGAGUACGCCUGUUCGAGUGUUAUGAAGCUCUCAAAACGCAAUUGGCUUAAAACCUGAUUGUUGUUUUGGAUUUGAACUUUGCCGUGUUAUAACGGCUGGUUUUAAAAGUAUUAGCUGGUACUAGAACGAAUUGGUUCUACUCAACGUGAUAAUUAUCUGAUAGUUGAGGACAUUCCUUUCACGAGGAAUGGCCAUAGUAAAUUCAAUGGACUGCUUCUAAUCUGGCUUUAAUUCUUUAUUGGAUUAACCACUUUUCAAAUCUGACCUCGAAUCAGGUGGGACUACCCGCUGAACUUAAGCAUAUCAAUAAGCGGAGGA